rnacentral:snoRNA from 1 species
UGGCAAUGAUGAUACGUUAAGGGCUUGUUUCUCAAAACAUUCGCAGUUGCCGCCUAAGAGCUUUCGCCCUGCCAGGCUUGAGAGCUAAUGCUGCUAAUUCCUUCCUUGGAUGUCUGAGCCU